rnacentral:misc_RNA from 1 species
GUGAAUCAUCGAAUUUUUGAACGCAAAUUGCGCUUCCUGGUAUCCCGGGGAGCAUGCCUGUUUGAGGGUCAGUAUUAAUCAAAAUUCGGUUUAGUUCCACAUUGUGACGUUUCCGGAGGUUGGGCUAUCUUAACAUUCUUCACUAAGAGGCUUAAAAUUGACCUUUUUUGCGCAUUUUUAAUCGUACUUGAAUUUUUUUUAUUCGUCUAUUCUUACUUCCAAAAUCUCAUUAGCUUCGAUCACGUCGUUUCG